AUAAGCGGAGGAAAAGAAACUAACAAGGAUUCCCCUAGUAGCGGCGAGCGAAGCGGGAAGAGCUCAAAUUUGUAAUCUGGCGCUUUCAGCGUCCGAGUUGUAAUCUCUAGAAAUGUUUUCCGCGUUGCACCGCACACAAGUCUGUUGGAAUACAGCGGCACAGUGGUGAGACCCCCGUUCAUGGUGCGGAUGCGCAAUGCUUUGUGAUACAUUUUCGAAGAGUCGAGUUGUUUGGGAAUGCAGCUCAAAUUGGGUGGUAAAUUCCAUCUAAAGCUAAAUAUUGGCGAGAGACCGAUAGCGAACAAGUACCGUGAGGGAAAGAUGAAAAGCACUUUGGAAAGAGAGUUAACAGUACGUGAAAUUGUUGGAAGGGAAACGCUUGAAGUCAGACUUGCUGUUCGGAGUUCAGCCGCAAGGUGUACUCUCCGAGUUGCAGGCCAGCAUCAGUUUUUCGGGGUGGAAAAUCACGGUUUGAAGGUAGCAGUUUCGGCUGUGUUAUAGCUUUCCGUUGGAUACAUCCUGGGGGACUGAGGAACGCAGUGUGCUUUUAGCAGGGGUUUCGACCUCUUCACA
rnacentral:rRNA from 1 species